rnacentral:tRNA from 1 species
AAAGAAUUAGUUAAUUAUAACAUUAAAUUGUCAAUUUAAAAUUAUUACAACCAUAAUAUUCUUUC